UUCCUGACCUGGAAAUUUCUGCAUGCCAUCAGCAUGGCGAAAGAAAGAAAGAAAGAAAGAAAGAAAGAAAGAAACAUGUUCAGUCUUGACUUAGGAUUUACAAAUUAGAAAUACCUUUGUAGAAUGUCCUUAUAGCAUCAUUUUAUCCCUAGAUGUGUCAAAAGAGUAUCCAGAAAUUAGUGCCAUAUCCCUAGUUGUAUUUUCUGCCUAAAUGUCCAGGAAGGGUUACUAGCUAGUGUUACCUUUUGUCCCACUAUCCUCAAAGUAUUAGAAGAAGUCAUUCUAUUGACCCUCUAGAAAAUAACUACUGCGCACAAAGAGCAGUGCUUUUCAAUGUUGACAACACAUUAGAAUUACCCAGGCAAUUUUAACAAAUACCACUUAUUAUUCAAAAGGUCUGGGUGUGUUAGAAAUAUUUUAAAAAAAAUAUUCCAAUGAUUCUGAUGCAGCUCCUCAUUGGCCAUACUUUGAGAUACAUUGAUAUGAGCUGAAUCUACCAUUCUGUCUGCUUCAUGAGAGUUAAUCAAGAAUCCCAUCUUCUGGAAAACAGUGAUAUGCCAGUUCUCUUCAUGGUACUCCUUAAUCCACAUCUGUUUUCGGACACAAGGGGUUUUGAAUUACUUGAAAAUUGUAAGAGCAAUAUCCUGACCCACUUUACACAUCUCUGGCAGAAAUCUGGAUGGUUGUGAGCAAUCCACCCUCAGCGGCUGGACUCAACUACAAGAAGGAAAGCCCAGACAUUUUAAGAUACUUUCCCUUGGCAAGUUCAUAAAUCUGGAGUCUCAGGGCAGUUACUCCACCUGUAAAAUACCUUCUUUACCUCUCAGUCCCAAAUGAGGGAAAGUCAGAUGUGUAAAUAUAUGAAUUUCUUUCAUAAAAUGUGGUUAAGUUUCCAUGCUUGAUAAUGACUGAGUAGCUCCUAUCAGACCAAGAUCCUGUAAAUAACUAUUAUAAACUCUGGACAGAAUAAUAGAAAACAACUACCCAAAGCACCAGAGAGAAAACAACAUUUCCCAGGUACCAGAGGGCAGUCAAUAUGUAGAAAAGAGAAAUAGCAUGAGACAAGUUUCCCAUUUUUAAUGGCUUUUAGCCUAAAAGUAGGAUACAGUUGGCAUGCAAAGUGUAUGCCAAAAUUCAGAAAGAUAUACUAAAGAAGCCAGAAUACAGAAUGUGGGGCACCCAUAGUAACUGGAGAGUAAAGCAAAAAAUCUUAGAAACGAGAGGAACAAAAGAGUCCCAAAUUCUGUAAAUAACUGCUCUAAUCUUUGACUCACCCCCGAACUACAAAUUCAAGGGGGCAGUUUCUAGGCUGCCCAUUUAAGGCUAAGAACAAAAACAAACAAAAACUAUGAAUUAGAGCUUCAGUUUGAGUUCUCCUUAUAGAAACAUAUUAGAACCCAAAAUCUGUGCAACGCAUGAUUUAUAAUAUCCAAUAUACAUUCCAAAACUACAUGAUACAUUAAAAGUAGAAAUAUAUGACUAAUUUUCAAGGGAAAAACCAUCAACAGAGUCCAAUCUCAAGAUAAUACAGACGUUGGAAUUACAAGGCAAGGGUUUUUAAGCAACUAUUUUAAAUAUGCUCAAUAAGGUAUGGAAAAAUAUGGUUGUAUUGUGUGAAAAAAAAUAGGAAAUCUUAGCAGAGAAAUAGAAAUACCAAAAAAAAGAACCAAGAGGAAUUUAUUGAAAUAAAAUCAGAAACAUAGUAUCUGAAUAAUAGCAGAAGAAAAUUUUCGAAAGUUAUUGAAUUCAAAGAUACUCUAAUAGAAAUGUUUUAAUGUGAAGACAUGCAAGAGGAAAAAGAAGAUAAUAAAUUAAUAGUGCCUCAGGAGUCUGUGGGACAAUACAAAAAGGCACAAAAUACAAAUUAUUGAAGUCCUAGAGCACUUGUAAAAGACAAAUUUUAAAUGUUUCGGCAUAAUAAGUACCAUUAAAUGCCUCCAAGGACAUCAGUCAUACUGAUAAAGAACAAAGAUUAAGAAAAGAUAAAAUCUUGAAACAGAGAAAAAUGACACACUGCAUACAGAAAAAUAAAAAUUCAACAAAACAUUGACUUCUUAACAGAAAUAAUUAAGACCGAAAGAUAGCUGACAUGUGCAGAAAGAAGAUGGUCCAGAAAUAGAUGUGGGAAUGGAACAGGGAAAAAUACAGUAAUUUAACAUAAUUACAGAGGUGAUAAUGGAGAAAAUAUUGGAUACUCAAGUUUGUAUGAUGCAAUCAAACAUUAUAGACAAAGAUGAGAUAUAGGCAAGAAAAUUCCACCAUAAAUAAUAAAAAACAGAUAAUAAUGCAUAUUAAUAUGGCACCUAUUAUCAUAGGGUAAGAACAUACUAUGAUGGUCAUAUCUGAAUCUGAACUUCUAUAAAUUAUGUUUCUCCCAUAGGUGGUACCAUAUAAAUAAAGCCCAUGUUUUACACCUACUUCCCUUCCCAAAUUAUACAAACAUCUUAAGAAGGAUAGUUCUUCAAUCCUAGUGCUCCAUUUGUAUGAUAUAGCUAUGUAUUUCAAAAGCCUCUAAAAUAUUUGUGCUUUAACACAAUAAUUUCAAUUUGAUUAAUUUAGUCCAAGAAAAUUAUAUGAAGGGCAGACAAAUAUUUACAAACAGGAUAUUUAUCAGAGCUUUACUUAUACAAAUUUUUUAGAAAUAAUACUAAUAGCUGAAGUACAGACAUAAUUAGGUGACUAUGGGAUAUAUACAAAGUGAAACUAACAUACCAUUAAAAAAUCUUUGUGUGUCUACAUUUUUUAAUGAUAUGUGAUAAUGUUUAUAGCCGUUAAGUUGAAUUUUUAAAAAUUCUCAUUAACAUUAUCUGAAUUAUUUUUUAAAAAACUGGAAAGAAAAAUGCCAAAAUGCCCAUACUGCUUGUCUCUGGAUUGUGGAAUUAUUGUUUUCCUUAAUUUAGUUCUGAUCUUUCUACUUUUGGGGUAUUUGCAAAUAUUUCAUGAAAAAAUAUGUAAAAAAUAAACAUAGUUCCUAGAAAAACCAAGACUGUGUCCAACUGUGAUUUGCAGUUGAAGUGAUGAGGUAUAGGUGGGAGACUGGAUUCUAGGUACAAUAGUGUGCAGAAACUAGACAGAGAAUCAAAAAUCUAGGCACGUACUGCUAGUAAUAUAAGAGUCAGGACAUUCAUGAUUUAGAGAAAUCAGAAAACUGGCAGUCACUGACCAGAGGUAUGGAAGCAAAGGAAAAUCAAAUGGAUAAAACAGGAUAGGUGGUCAAAUAUUCAAGUGGGAAGUCAGGAACAAGAAAAGAAUAAAAAUCACAUUACUGAGGGGCAAGGAGAUGUUGACAGUGAGUUUCCUCAACAGGACACCGCCUAUGUGCUAUGGGUUAGGACAGAAACUGGUCUCAGGAUCUGGCCAGUUCAGAGUCCAUAUAGUAAAGCAAGUAAAUCAGCAAGCCCAACAAGAUAAAGGUAAAGAGGAGGCAUGGAUUUCAGUAAUCUCUUGUGUAGCCAACACCAGAGAAGAAAGG
rnacentral:lncRNA from 1 species